ensembl:scaRNA
AUGGUCCAAGAGGGGUCUCCUGUGCUGUUGACCCUGCCCAGUUGUGGGAGCAGCCCGGUCCCAGGCAGCCCGGCCCUGACCUCAAGUAAGUUCCCAGAAGUCUUUCCUGGGUUUGAACAAGUGUGAACAUUCUAGGAGCAGUUUGAUGAUCAUGUAUGAUACUACAAACAGGA